rnacentral:rRNA from 1 species
GAAUAUUGGACAAUGGGCGAAAGCCUGAUCCAGCAAUGCCGCGUGAGUGAUGAAGGCCUUCGGGUUGUAAAGCUCUUUUACCCGGGAUGAUAAUGACAUUACCGGGAGAAUAAGCUCCGGCUAACUCCGUGCCAGCAGCCGCGGUAAUACGGAGGGAGCUAGCGUUGUUCGGAAUUACUGGGCGUAAAGCGCACGUAGGCGGCGAUUCAAGUCAGAGGUGAAAGCCCGGGGCUCAACACCGGAACUGCCUUUGAAACUAGAUCGCUAGAAUCCUGGAGAGGCGGGUGGAAUUCCGAGUGUAGAGGUGAAAUUCGUAGAUAUUCGGAAGAACACCAGUGGCGAAGGCGGCCCGCUGGACUGGUAUUGACGCUGAGGUGCGAAAGCGUGGGGAGCAAACAGG